rnacentral:tRNA from 1 species
GCCCGGCAGGCUCAGUCGGAAGAGCAUGUGACUCCUGAUCUCAGGGUCGUGAGUUGAAGCCCCACAUUGGGCA